GUUGAAUCUGAAGCAACAAGCUGACACUUGUUUUUUUUUUUUUCAUUCUUUUGACGACAACUCAGAUAGGCAUUGACAGGGCGGACCUCGAUAAAGCUUUCAUACAGCUGACACAUGAGUUUCUGACAAAGCAGAAAUUUGAAGCAUAUGAUUUGAAAGGGAGUGUAGUAGCUGAAGACAAGAAAAAAGAGGCCACAGCUAAUUGGUAAUCUACAAGUUUGUUGCUUGUAGAGGUGCUUGUAAGUGACAUCUGGGUCUUUGAGAAGUCUCUGUUCCAUACAGGAGCUUGCUGGCGACAGUGGCCGGAUUGAACUUCCAACAAAAGAUAAAAUCCAACCUGCCCUUUGAUUUUUUGCUAGUCAGCAUUCUCUAUACAAAUUGGCUUUCUUCUACUUUUCUCUUUGCAAUGUAAGCCUGAAUGUUUUCUGACUAGGCCCCAGAGCUGCGAGGUAAAUCAUUAAUAAGUUCAAAGACAAUCAGAAAUAGACAAACCAGUUUUCUGUUUU